rnacentral:rRNA from 1 species
UACGAAGGGGGCUAGCGUUGCUCGGAAUUACUGGGCGUAAAGCGCACGUAGGCGGAUUGUUAAGUCGGGGGUGAAAUCCUGGAGCUCAACUCCAGAACUGCCUUCGAUACUGGCGAUCUAGAGUCCGGGAGAGGUGAGUGGAACUGCGAGUGUAGAGGUGAAAUUCGUAGAUAUUCGCAAGAACACCAGUGGCGAAGGCGGCUCACUGGCCCGGUACCGACGCUGAGGUGCGAAAGCGUGGGGAGCAAACAGG